rnacentral:rRNA from 1 species
AGAAUCAACGCUGGCGGCGUGCCUAACACAUGCAAGUCGAACGAGAAAGUGGAGCAAUCCAUGAGUAAAGUGGCGACCGGGUGAGUAACACGUGACUAACCUACCUUCGAGUGGGGGAUAACAUCGGGAAACCGAUGCUAAUACCGCAUAACAUCGCAAGAUCAAAGCAGCAAUGCGCUGGAAGAGGGGGUCGCGGCUGAUUAGCUAGUUGGCGGGGUAACGCCCACCAAGGCGAAGAUCGGUAGCCGGCCUGAGAGGGCGCACGGCCACACUGGAACUGAAACACGGUCCAGACUCCUACGGGAGGCAGCAGUGGGGAAUUUUGCGCAAUGGGGGAAACCCUGACGCAGCAACGCCGCGUGGAGGAUGAAGCCCCUUGGGGUGUAAACUCCUUUCGACCAAGACGAUAAUGACGGUACUGGUGGAAGAAGCACCGGCUAACUCUGUGCCAGCAGCCGC